rnacentral:rRNA from 1 species
GCCCAGCCGUAAACAAUUAAUCCACAACCACAAGCGCCAGGGAAUUACGAGCCGAGCUUAAAACCCAAAGGAUUUGACGGUGUCCCACCCCCCUAGAGGAGCCUGUUCUAUAAUCGAUGAUCCCCGCUACACCCGACCAUUUCUUGCUUAUUCAGUCUGUAUACCUCCGUCGAAAGCUUACCAUGUGAACGCCCCCACAGUAGGUUCAAUGAUCCCCGUCAAUACGUCAGGUCAAGGUGCAGCUUAAGAAAUGGGAAGCGAUGGGCUACAAUUUCAACCUAGAACAAACGAAAGGCUAUGUGAAACCAUAGUCACGAAGGCGGAUUUAGUAGUAAAAAGAAAAUAGAGUGUUCUUUUUACCUGGCUCUGGGACGCGUACACACCGCCCGUCACCCUCUUCGAUAGUGCUAACCCACAGUCCAUAACCUAUUUAUACGUCUGAGAAGAGGCAAGUCGUAACAUGGUAAGUGUACUGGAAGGUGCACUUGGUAUAUUACAAAAUAUAGCUUAA